rnacentral:rRNA from 1 species
GACGAACGCUGGCGGCGUGCCUAAUACAUGCAAGUUGAGCGCUGAAGGUUGGUACUUGUACCAACUGUAUUAGCAGCGAACGGGUGAGUAACGCGUGGGGAAUCUGCCUUUGAGCGGGGGACAACUUUUGGAAACGAAUGCUAAUACCGCAUAAAAACUUUAAACACAAGUUUUAAGUUUGAAAGAUGCAAUUGCAUCACUCAAAGAUGAUCCCGCGUUUUAUUAGCUUGUUGGUGAGGUAAAGGCUCACCAAGGCGAUGAUACAUAGCCGACCUGAGAGGGGGAUCGGCCACAUUGGGACUGAGACACGGCCCAAAAUCCUAAGGGAGGCAGCAGUAGGGAAUCUUCGGCAAUGGACGAAAGUCUGAACGAGCAAAGCCGCGGGAGUGAAGGAGGUUUUCGGAUCGUAAAACUCUGUUGGUAGAGAAGAACGAUGGUGAGAGUGGAAAGCGCAUCAAGUGACGGUAACUACCCAGAAAGGGACGGCUAACUACGUG